ensembl:lncRNA
CGGUGUGGAGCGCUCGGCCAGCAUCCCGCCGCCGCCUUCCGCAGCCGGGCCUUGCUCGUGCUCUCGCGAGACGAGCUGUAAUCUCGGCGGGGCUCGAGAGAGGGGCCUGGCAGGAGCGUUCGGAACCCCGGGAAGCAGAAAGGUGUGCUCCGCGUUUCCCGCGCGGGUUCUCCCGCCUCGGCUCUGAGCGGACUGGAGGGGUCAGUUGGACCACCUGCCUGCGUCGUCACGGAGGGCCCCCUGGAAAAGGCGGAGGGGCGGGUGUGGAUCCUCAGAGCCUCCUGGAACUCGCUGUGCAGCCACAUCAGUUUGCCAAGCCCUGGUCACCCCAAUCCCCAGCUUCUUCCUCAACCUACCUAGCCCGUUGUUGAUGUACCAGCGCGUCUCAGGAUCAAGUGCACGUGUGUAGCUACAACAGAGUUCUGAAAGUGUGAAACGUACUAAACCAAGCAUGUGUGCGGAGUGGCCUCACAGGCGAACUCAGAAUACUCAGAACUCUUUUACCAGCUGAGGAAACCAUCCUACUCCUUUCUCCCACCCUCCAGACUCCCAGGUCACCAGUAUUUGGUAUUUGAGAACUGUGAGUACCAGUCUUGUGGGAAGUGAAGAGAGAUUUAAGUUUAUGCUAAUCUUCCCCUCUCAAAGCCUAAUUACUUAAAGGCCAUUGGUCUGUGUGAACUCCUACAGCUAUUAAGAGUUAGGGAAGUCACAUAUUAAUUAUUCAAAUGAUUGAUCUGCUGGAUGAAUUAGCCCCCACCUUCCCCUCAUGUCCCAGCCUCUGAGGUGCUUUCCCCAUUUGUCAGCCACUGUGUACCGUGGGAUGCAAGCUGUCCCUAAUUGUUGGAGCAGUACAUCUGCUGAUCCAAAAAAUAAGAAGUACAUGCAGAUGGUAACAUUCUGGGUUCAGUCGCUUAGAAGAUUUCUCGUGCAUUACAGCGCUGCUCCUUUCUAUUACCACAGACCCUCAAGGGUAGCUGCGAAGGGAAGAAUUUAGUGGCAAUCUGUGCCCACAUCCAGAUAAGGGAUGGACUGCUCCAGGCUCUUUGAUGUCCAGAAGAGCCUAGAGUCUGUGGGGUGGGAUUUCCCUGAGAGCAGUACUUCCAUUCCUCAAAGACAGCCUGGGAGAGUGAAAAAACAAACACACGGAAAAAUAGGACAACUGAAGCCUGACGAAAUAAGCUGGUACCUUACCCACCCCAGGGCAUCUUGUGAGUUCAGCUUUGCUGGGUCUUGCAGAAAAAUCACUCACUGUUUCUCUGUCUUUUAUAGAGACAUGUUUUCUUAUUAUUCCAUAAGGAGUGGCUAUGUAUUGUACAAACUACAGGAAUCACAGAUAAGCAAAAUAACAUACAGCUAACUGCAGAUGAGCAAAGUAAAAUAUAAUAAAACAAAAAUCACCUGUAAUCCUACCCAUACUAUCACUGCUACACUUUGCUAUAUAUCCUUCCAGUCCUGUGUUUGUGUUUGUGUGUGUGUAUGUGUGUGUGUGUGCAUGUGUUUUAGUAAAAAUGAGGUCAUAUUGUAAAUGCUAUUUGACAGUCUGCCUUUUUAAUCAACAAUAUUAUGAAGGCUUUUCAUGGCUUCAAAUUUUCUGCUUUAUUACCGUUAUUAUUGAAAAUAAAUUCUCAAUAUAUGGUAGCUACUUUUAUGUGCCAUGCACUAUGCUAAGAGCUCCAAUUAAGUCAUGUCAUUUAGUCAUUUCUGUGACUCUAGGAAGUGGAUAUCAUUAUCCCCAUUUCACAGAUUAGGAAAUUAAGUCUCAGAGCUUGAGUAAUUUAAAAUAUGCCACAAAAGUGGUAAGUGACAUCACAGAUUAGAGCCCAGUUCUGCUGAGAAAGCUCAGGUUUUUAAUCAAUAUGAUAAGACUUCCGCUUAGCAUCAUCUUCUAAUAAUCUUUUGAGUAAAAACAGGGAUAGAUCAACAGGUAGUAGGUGAAUCAGGCAACUGACAAUCAAAAGACAUACAGAAACAAAUGUAAGUAUAAUCAAGCAUAUCAUCAUAUACAUGGAUGUGCAGGGGUGUUUGUAGAUCACAGAGAUAUAAUGAUACAAUCCGGGAUCAAAAGAAGGAAAAUCAGAAGUGAGAGUGAGGUCAGAGGAAAUGACAUGGAAAGUGUUUUUCAUCCUUUCCCUGGGCAAGUUGAGGACAUCUCUGAGAAGUAGAAACUACCCUUUAUCUCCUUUUCAUCCUUAUAACCAAUCUUCUUCAGUCACAUUUGGUGGCUCCCCUUCCUUGUCUCACCCACUAGCUGGGGAUAUUUCCCAAGGAAGACCACAUUCUUUUCUUUCCUUUUCUCCCUCAGGUGUCUCAGGCCUCCGGAUAGCCUACCUCUUAUCAUCAGAUGAUUUUCAAGUCAAUAUCUAGCUCUCCCCUUUAUCCAGAGUUAUGCUUCUGCAGCUCCAAAUGCCUGUGGAUUGCUCUACGUGCAUAUCCCAGUCAUUUCAAAUUCAAGAUGUAGAGCUCAACUCUCCCCUCCAAAAUUGAUUCUCCUUCUCAUCCCUCAAUUUCUGUUAGUGGCAUUAUUGCUCUCUCACUCUCUGGGCUCCAAUCUCAACUUAUCUUUGAUCAUUCCUCUUCCAUAGCCCACUUCUAAGCAGCUCCUCCCCACCACACCUUGCUCAGAGAAGUAAGCCCUAGCCUUUCCUUGAGCAUAAAUUGAAGGGUGGUAGCAGGUAUAAGCCUGGGGUCACACAUUCCAACAGGAUUCCAUCACAGGUGCAUCUGACCCACCACAAAAGGGAAGAGAGAACACGAUGAAUAUCUUUUGUUUUGGCCUGCCCAGUGUCCCUUCUUCUAGUAAUGGAAUCAUCUCUUCAUUUGGAGAAGACAACCCUCCCCCAUUAUCCAUCCACAGUUUUCAAGUGGGGCUGACUCACUUCCCAGCUCCAAAAGCCUGGGCACCUGAAUCAGGCCAGACUAAUCAGAGUCAGAGAGAGUGGACCAGGAAUGGACAUGUGACUCAAUCUAGGCCAAUGGAAAUCAUUCCAGGUACUUUUGUGGAACAGAGUGGGAAGAGAUUCUCCCUUUUUUAUAAAUAAUUUUUUCUUUUCUCCUCAAAGCCCCAGUACAUAGUUGUAUAUCCUACUUGUAAGUCCUUCUAGUUCUUCUAUGUGGGAUGCUGCCUCAGCAUGGCUUGAUGAGCAGUGUGUAGGUCCAUGCCCAGGAUCCGAACCAGUGAACCCCGGGCUGCCAAAGCGGAGUGUGCGAACUCAGCCACUAUGCCACCACACUGCCCUGAGACUCUCCUUUUUAUAGUUGAUGGAAAAUAAUUGUGAAACUUUCUGAUGGCUGUUUCUGUCGUGACUUGGGAGGCCGCUAGCUGAGAAUAAGGACCAGACAAAAGAGAGAUGGAGCACUGAAGACAUCUUUGACUAUCUAGAUCCAACCGUGUUUGAAGCCAAACAAUCCCUACACUUACACACGUGAUGGGAGUAUACUUCCAUAUCCUCUUUGAAGUUAGAUGUGGAACGGGACCUGCUUUGACCAAUGACAUGGGAGCAGAUAUUUUAAGAGCCAAUACAAAUUCUCCCACUUCUUUCUCUCUCCAUAGCAACCAGCGGUACUCCAGUUAGUGUUUCUCACGUCAGCCUGGUGUCCAGAGUGAGAGUAACGUGGAACAGAGCCCCCAGCUGACCUGUGACGGACACAUAGCAUGAGAAAGAAAUAAACCUUAUUUUUUUCAACUACUG